rnacentral:rRNA from 1 species
UACGUAGGCAGCAAGCGUUGUUCGGAGUUACUGGGCGUAAAGGGUGUGUAGGCGGCCUUCUAAGUUUGGUGUGAAAUCUCCCGGCUCAACUGGGAGGGUGCGCCGAAUACUGAAGGGCUAGAGUGCGGGAGAGGAGAGUGGAAUUCCUGGUGUAGCAGUGAAAUGCGUAGAUAUCAGGAGGAAUACCGAUGGCGAAGGCAGCCCCCUGGGUCGAUACUGACGCUCAUGCACGAAAGCGUGGGGAGCAAACAGG